UCCCUGGUGGCUCAGGUGGCAAAGAAUCUGCUUGCAAUGCAGGAGACCCAGGUUUGAUCCCUGGAUCGGGAA
rfam:Ovis aries breed Texel chromosome 9, whole genome shotgun sequence.